rnacentral:rRNA from 1 species
UACGGAGGAUGCAAGCGUUAUCCGGAAUGAUUGGGCGUAAAGCGUCCGCAGGUGGCAAUGUAAGUCUGCUGUUAAAGAGUCUAGCUCAACUAGAUAAAAGCAGUGGAAACUACAUAGCUAGAGUACGUUCGGGGCAGAGGGAAUUCCUGGUGUAGCGGUGAAAUGCGUAGAGAUCAGGAAGAACACCGGUGGCGAAGGCGCUCUGCUAGGCCGUAACUGACACUGAGGGACGAAAGCUAGGGGAGCGAAAGGG